rnacentral:sRNA from 1 species
GAGGCAGGCGGUUCUCGUCCGGCAGCGCGUUGCGCCCCCGGGCGCGUUUGGU